rnacentral:tRNA from 1 species
GGGAGAGUAUGGGCCUGGUGGCUCACCCGGUCUUCAAAACCGCGGAGGCCUUCGCAAGGGGGCUGGUCGGUUCGAUUCCGACACUUUCCCGCCA